GAUCAUGGCUCAGGAUGAACGCUGGCGGCGUGCCUAACACAUGCAAGUCGAACGGACUUACAUUGAAGCCUAGCGAUAUGUAAGUUAGUGGCGGACGGGUGAGUAACGCGUGGGUAACCUGCCUUGUACUGGGGGACAACAGUUGGAAACGACUGCUAAUACCGCAUAAGCGCGCAGCUUCGCAUGAAGCAGUGUAGAAAAACCUCCGGUGGUACAAGAUGGACCCGCGUCUGAUUAG
rnacentral:rRNA from 1 species